rnacentral:misc_RNA from 1 species
GGAAGUAAAAGUCGUAGCAAGGUUUCCGUAGGUGAACCUGCGGAAGGAUCAUUAUUGAAUUCCAAACGUAAAGGACUCGUGCUGUUUGCGCCUUCACCGGCUGCACGCCCCGUCCGAUACAUUUACACCUGUGCACCUUUGACCCGCGUAUAGUCGGGUCCUUACGCACACACCUUAAAAUCUUAGAAUGUUUAUUAUACAAAUUAUGACAACUUUCAACAACGGAUCUCUUGGCUCUC